rnacentral:rRNA from 1 species
UACGAAGGGGGCUAGCGUUGUUCGGAAUUACUGGGCGUAAAGCGUGCGCAGGCGGCUUCUCAAGUCAGGGGUGAAAGCCCAGAGCUCAACUCUGGAAUUGCCUUUGAGACUGAGUGGCUUGAGUACGAGAGAGGUGAGUGGAAUUCCCAGUGUAGGGGUGAAAUUCGUAGAUAUUGGGAAGAACACCGGUGGCGAAGGCGGCUCACUGGCUCGUAACUGACGCUGAGGAACGAAAGCUAGGGGAGCAAACAGG